AUAACUCAUCAUUGGAGAAAAAAAUUAUUAUACUCGCUUGAUGGACCGUAAUGGGCCUGAUGACCCGAGGGCAAGUAAUGCACGCUCUCCCAACAUGUAUGUAUAUGUCCCCUAUUAUCUCUGCUAUCCGAAGAGAACACACCCGUCCCGAGCGCCGCAGCCGCAGCCAGUGAGUGCGCGAGAACUUGAGAAUCCAAGGGGCGAUUUCUCCACUGAAGUCGAUGACAGCUGCACUGCCGAAGGUGCUCCGCGGCGGGGGCUUCGGCUCGUCCUCCCACCUGCUCCCGGCGAUCGGCCGCCCGCCGCGUGAUGCAGCAGGGCCUCCUUCCAGGCUUCUCUCCGGCUACCCCCACUGUGGGCAGCCGUCUGGUGCACACUGGUGAAGGUGCCCUUAUCAGAAGGAUGAGUGAGAGGUUCAGACAUGUCAAUAGACACUUUGAGGUAGAAAGAUUUAGUUGUCAUGCUUAACGAGACUCGUUUGUUUAUGCAUGUUAAAUGUUUCUUUUAGCCCAGAGAGUUAGAGUUUGUUGUGCUUCACAUGAAUGAAAGGCUCAGCAAAUUGGAAAAAUACCGGAGGACUCUAGGGAGACACUGGAUGUACCCAGUGGUGACGACCCUGAUCGGGCUGAUAAUGAUGAUCACCAUUAUGGUUGACUAUUACAGGUUCAACAAGAUUAUUAAUGUUCAAAAUAGCCGGCAAUAGCCACCGCUAUAGCCAACUCUAUUUGGGGACUCAAAUUUUUAUUCACCAUAAUUUAGUAGAACACAAGACUCUGGCACUUUUUA